GACGAACGCUGGCGGCGUGCUUAACACAUGCAAGUCGAGCGGUAAGGCCCUUUCGGGGGUACACGAGCGGCGAACGGGUGAGUAACACGUGGGUGACCUGCCCUCAGCUCUGGGAUAAGCCCGGGAAACUGGGUCUAAUACCGGAUAUGACUUCAUGACGCAUGUUGUGGAGUGGAAAGCCUUGUGCGGCUGAGGAUGGGCCCGCGGCCUAUCAGCUUGUUGGUGGGGUGAUGGCCUACCAAGGCGACGACGGUAGCCGGCCUGAGAGGGCGACCGGCCACACUGGGACUGAGAUACGGCCCAGACUCCUACGGGAGGCAGCAGUGGGGAAUCUUGCGCAAUGGGCGAAAGCCUGACGCAGCGACGCCGCGUGAGGG
rnacentral:rRNA from 1 species